rnacentral:lncRNA from 1 species
AAAUGUCUGUGAACUGGUGAGCAGAUACCCGAGUUGAAGUGUAUCCAUGCAACAGCAUAUACUACUCAACCAUGAAAAGGAACGGGCGACUAAUGCAUGCUCCAACGGGGGUGACUCAAAACCUUCGCUCGGUAAGAAAUCCAGGCAGAAGAGACCAUGCACUGCACCAUUCCACCCCUAACAUUUCUAGAAAAGGCAAAAUAACAGUGGCAGGAAUGAAAUCAGGGAUUGUCAUCAGGACGGGAAGAAGGGAUUGGCUGGGGUUGGGCGACACAAGGGGCUUUUGUGGUGGCAGAAAUGUCCUCUAUCCUGAUUGUGGGGGUGGCACAUGGCUGGGUGCCCUUGUCAAGACCUGUUGAAUUGUACCCUUCAAUCGGUGACAUUUAUUGCAUAUAAAUUAGCCUCAAUAAAGUUAAUUUAAAAGUACCUGCGUACUCUUCCGCGCAAAUGUGUUGGAACAGACACUUAGUGCCAUAAACAGUCACAGCAAGGAUCUGCCGCUGAGCACUGAGGGGUAAUGGGAGGUUCUGGGGCAAGAAGAGCUUUUGAGGACUCCAUAAGGACAGAGGCGGGGACGGUGGGAAGGAGUGGGCAGUGUGGGUGGAAGGCAGGGGCUUGGGGACAGCGAGGGGGAGGCCUGCAGCAGGGGCGCGGCUCUGGAGAACAAGGGAGCAGGGGCUGUGGGGAGCGGUCGCUGCAGGGUUGGACGGAUGCUAGGCCAAGGUGGGGCCAGCGGCACGGGUUCCCAGGUGAGUGGGGCUGGGACCGGAUGGGAGGGAGUGACCUCCCCAUCACGUGGAGGCUGAGUUGAUGACGAUGGGAAGAGCAGCGGGGGCCAAAAAGGGAGGGACGGCCCGGCACGCCGUGCACUCGAUGCCCAACGGGCCCCCAUUUAAGGUAAGCAUUUGUUUAACUGCACCGUGACACACAGUAUUUUCUGAAUUUAAGUUGAACUCAGUUCAACAAAUGUUUAUGAACUGUCUACGGAGGAGAGGCACUGAAGUGCAGCGAUGACUCAACGCGUACUUGAGCUUCAAAAGGCUGCCAGAUUGGCGUGGGUAUCACCUCAACGUGUAAAGAAUCCUGUUCACAACUUGCUCUAUCAUCUCAGAUCUCAGGCAGCAGUCACCAGCUCCUUGGAGAAACAGGCUGCAGAUUUUCUAUUAAGAAAAUGUUGAUGUGAAGACACUAAGAAGUUUUUUAGUAGAUAUUUCUGUUCCUUCUUUAAUGAACUGAGAAUAAGACACCCUGUUAUCUACGAGUGGCAGAUGAGAGAUGCAGGGAAAUGUGCUGAGCCCUGUGUCCAGUUCUUGGUGAACCAGUGAACCUACCCUUGCAAAGCAGCCACCUGCAACACAUCUCACACUGUCUCUUUGAGGUUCAGCACUUCCUAUCUCACACGUGGUCCCUAUGACCACCAUUCUCACCAGAUCUCACUUUGAUGUC